CCCCCCUCCCCUUCCAUCUUCCCUCUCUCUCCUCGUAUGAUUUUUUUGGAGGGGAAGCGUACCCGGAGAGAGAAAUAAACGAAAGUAUACGACAUCCUUUUCUUCCAUCCACCAUCCCCUUCUCACCCAUGCUCGUUUCACUUCGACCACUUUCUCCGUGCAAAUCACCCUCACUGUUAACCCUCUUCUCUCUUCCUUUCUACUCUCCCCGAUUGUAAUAAUCGAUUCGAUAUAACCCGAGUGCCUUAAUCCAAUCUCUAUUGCCCAUCUUGCUCUCUACGCACACUUACACACACACACACACACACACAUACACACACAUACAUACACACGACUAACGAGAGAAAAGAAAUGAAAGGGAGAAAGCUUCGGAACGCCCGCGAUUUAGACGCAUAUUAAUUUCUAUAGGCAGUAGAAUUGAGUGUCGAUUGCUAGAGAGAACGCGCGAGAGCGUACACGGAAGGCUGGCGAACCGAGGACUGUCCGGAAAGGGGAGAGGAGGACCUGUGGGUAUGCAGAGAGACGGCGGGAUCCAGUGUACCUUACUCCCCGCUGUUAACACGAAGAGAAGAUGUAUUCACGUAUUAUAGAGCAUAUAAAUGUAGUCGUUCGUAGUAUUAGUAUUAUUAAUAGAAAAUCGAGUCGAUGGUGUAGGCGUAGUUAUGUGCGACUUUUGGAGUAAUCCGGCAGAGUCGGACUCGAAAGUCGUCGGAGAAAAAGUUUCGGGAGCGAGAGUGAUUCGGCAAAAAUUUCAUGUAGAAACUUACCAAAGAAUAUUUAUUGUACGAGAGAUCGAGAAAGAAGCGUGACAUUUGCAAAAUAUCUGGCUUUUUUCGAAUCCGAUUCUGGGCAUUACAUUAUUGACUGAUAAAACGUGGAGGCGACUGCGUUUCAAUCGUGACUUCGUAUAAGCGAAAAGUAUAAUUCAUACAUUUUUUUAAUUACAUUCUUUGUCUCAUGCGGCUUAAAUCAAUGCAGGGCAUUUGAUUUCAAUCGGAAUGAGAGAUAUUUAUUUACAGUAAUAUUUUUUCCGCCCUAAUUAUCGAUAGUAUGAUUCGGUCGAAACAGUUGUCAUACGAUAGUCGAUGGAGACGUAUCGUUCCUACGCCGAUAGUCUAUUAUAAAAUACCAGUGUCGGGAAAGUUGUUCUCGUUGACGGGGAAACAUUUAUAUCGAGACUACAAGAAUGCAUCGUGCAUGUGUAACGAUUUGUUUAUAUUAACAUAUUUCUCAGCGGCUGUCUCGCGUUUGCGAUUAAUCUGUCAAUGUAUAAUUAAUGUUUCGUACUUUGCUCGUCGCGAUUUAUCGUCUCAAAAGUUUGAUUGAAAGGGAAAAACUGCUUGCAUAUUUCCGGAAUAAUUUUCGAGGCGAAUUUAGAGAAUUAUUAUUAUUUAGAAUUAUUUAUAUUUAUAUUUAUUAUUUUUUAUCCUUUAUUAUUUUAUUUAUUACAUAUGCAUUAUAAAAUGCAACUGUCAAAUUAUCACGAAUAGUUUUCCGCGUCAACUUUACGAAUCUUUUUAAUUUAUUGGAAAAAAAAAAAACGCCAUUGUAAUGCAUUCUAUUGCACGAUGCGAGACAGUCGCGUCGUAAGAGGCAAUGAGGCCUUACAUAAUCGCAUGUGUGAUUUAAACAAAAAUAUAUCAUUGAAUAUCUGUAAUGGUACAUUGUUAUCCAACACUCUCACCAUCAUCGUCAUCAUCACCAUCAUCAUCGUCAGUCUCAUUAUCACUGUUACAUUUACCAGCAAAAGAGAUUGUCGAGGAAAUCGAUUUUAAAGUCUCGCGUGGUGCACUCACACAUCGAUUUUUACACGGGUGAUCGGACAUAAUUUAGUCUCUCUUUUUAUAAAUUUUUUCAUUUUGAAGUAUCUUCAUUAUAUAUAUAUAUAUAUAAUUGCAUUUGAUUGCAUAUAAGUUUAAGAUAAUGAACUUCCACGAUGGAGGCUAUUGGUUUCAUAGAUCGAUUGACUUUAGAAAUUCUUUGACGAAUCAUCCUGUAAGAACGAUGCGCGAAUUAAGAAUUUUUUUUUUUUUGCAUUUUACACUUCGGCGAGGCCGAAGACGUAUUGUCGCGACACGACAAUAAAGCGCGAGAGAGAGAGAGAGUGAGAGCAUCGAAACGAUCAUGCACAUCGUGCAAUACGAGAGCGUGCACCAUGACUGCUCUUUUACUUUUCGAGUGACUUUUUCGAAAAAGGGACCCACGCGUUUUUCACAGCGCUUUUUUAAAGGCCGCACACGCGCGUCGUGACGCGGUGUCUUGUUCUUCCAAUACGUAUAUAUUAUAUAUACAUACACACGUACAUACACAUCUGCAUACGCAUGCAUACACGAAUAUUAAAAGAUAUACAUUACUUACACGCAAUUAUAUUUAUAAAAACAAAAAUAUAUAAAGUAUAUAAAUAUAUUAUAAAAUCGAUCUAUACAUAUAUAUAUAUAUAUAUAUAUAUAUAUAUAUAUAUAUAUAUAUAUACAUAUACUUUUAUGCGUAUAUAAUAAUUCUACGAUUAAUAAAGGCGAAGAAGCCGAGCGUGCGUUAGAACAUAAAUAUAGAUUUCAGGAAAGAGCGUUUGAUUCUUCGAUUCUUCAUUCAAGGAUAAAAAGUAUCAUCGUGUUGUUACGCGACGCUUCGCCAACGAAUCGACAUUGUGCCUCUUCGUUCGUCUGACACUACAACAUUUUAUGCAUUACUCAAAGGAUAUUUCAAAAGGGUACAAUAUUUUAUGACAUUGUUCGAAACAUGUCGAAUAUUUUUCACGCGAGUAUUUCUUGAAAAAUGAUCACGUAUUUUGAGAAUGUACGUUGCCCGAAAAAUUGAAGCAUUUUUUCGUACGAGUCACCAAUUGAUGUAUUCAGCGAUCUAUGCUGUUCUGUUAUACGCGCAGAUACGUGUCUUAAUAAUAUAAAUUAAGAUCAUUAUAAGGUAGUAAAUUAUUAAUGAUACAUAAUAUUAUGAUAAUAUAUUCUGACGCGCUUACGCAAAUGUGAAAAACAUCCUCGUAAUAUUGAAUACAUUUACGAUUUAAUAUUUCAUAUAACGAUGAUAUCGAUGUAUGACAGCAUCGUAGAUUUUGGAGUGAGGUAAAUUUUAAUAAACGAGAUAAAGAUAGAUAGACGUGUCGUAAUUUAAUUGACGAAGCGUCGCGCGCGAUUUUAAUGAUGCUCGCGAUACGAUACUUAAAAAAUUACAAGUUUAUGAUUUUCGGAUUUUCCGAGACUCUUGCUCGUCUACUCAAUCCGUUAGCUAAACAACUCUGGUUAGUUUCUUCGAUGCGAUAAAUAAUUCGCUCCGAGUCUUAACUUUUUAACUAAUUUUCUCGUGCAUAAAAAUUCGCGAGUAAUUAUUCACUUAUCUCGUCUCAUUUAUUACUCGCUUGCGAAAGCUUUCAUAAACUCAACAGAGAUAAACGCUAGAAAGUCUCUCGCAAUUAUAUUAUAUAUAAUAUAAUACAUAUCUAAAUUUUUUCAUACACACUCUUUAUUAAAGAAGACAGCUACAUUGAUAAGAUCGAUAUGAUGACGCGCAUACGUAAUUGCAAAUUUGAGAAAUAUUUAUUGAUACUUUUACGCUCAUAUAUCAUUUAGAGAUUACUGUGUGAUUAAUUAUUUAAUAUUUAAUAUUUUAAUUAUACAUUUUAAUUACUACAACAAUCUAAUCAACUCUAAUCUCGCGACAAUCUAUCGAGUUACUUUGACAGUUUCGUUUCCGUAAGAUAGAUUUUUUUAUUGUGACUUCUCUACCGUAACUUUACUUUGUUAAUCGCAUAUUCCAUGCCGUAUGAAUGUUGCGCAUAAAACAUUUUACUAUAAAAUGUCAAAUUAUACUUUCAUCAAACGACGAGUUGGCACGAUUCGUCGCGCAAUAUUCGGAAAUCAAUCAAAAAACGCGGUCUUCCAAAAAUAAAAAUAAAUAACAAUACUCGUGCACCUUUUGCACGACAAAUGCGACUUUACGUUGAUCCUAUCGCGCCGCCUUAUCUUUCACACCGUUGAAUUUUUCGUACGCGAUCAUAUAGGAAGUAUUAUAGAGAGAAAGAUAGAAGUGUUAUUCUUUUAUAUGAUUCUGACACUUGUAAAUACUUCUUUUCUCUUCCAAUAUUAUACGUGAGAUGUAAAUAUUUUCCUCUCGAGAUAUUGAACGAUAUUUAUUAGAGAUGAGUGAGAGAAAAUAAGAUGAGGGAAAGAGAGAGAGAGAGAGAGAGAGAGAGAGGGAGCAUUAGUAGGUUCAUUAAUUUUCUAAGACGUUGUAAAAAGCGUGAUGUGUAGCAGUAGUCGAGCCGCUGCUCGCUACGUCAAUUUUCUUCCCUUUUUAUUUAAUUCGUCAGGAUUAUUGCGAGACACGGUUUGGAAAAAAAAAAAAAUCUCCUUAAGGAACGACACGGUAUAUUGUCAGCAAUAUCAGCAAUAUACAUGCAUAUUAGGAAACUGGGACGCAAACAUUGCGUCGGAUCGAUCGACUUUCACAUAUACGUGUCGUUGUCGUGGCAGCGUGAUGACAGGUGACGAAAUGACCGCGGGAAGAGGGGGCGCCAAAUCCGGAUCUUCGAAAAUCUUUGUUGUCGCGAAACGCGACGAACGUCGAUUAUACUUUCAAGGAAGGGGAGGCCCUUUUCUUCCUUUAAAAUAUAUAUAUGGAUUGUGUGUUUACGUGUCCGCGACGAGAAAGACGUUUCGAAGUCCGGAGUUGCUUCGGUAUUUUUUGUAGCGCGUACAUAGCUCAGUAGCAAUAUAUCUUACAUGAUAUAAUUGAAAAGAUCUACUUCAUCAUUAUAUCAUUAACUUUCUAUAUGAGACAUGUACUCCGUUAUCGAGCAAGCAGCCUCCGGCAUAUAUUCUCUUCGAUCAGAUAUAUCCGUUGAUUAUAAUUAUUAUUAUUAUUAAUAUUUUUCAAUGAUCGUUGUUGUACGUUCGAUAUCGAUUCGAAAAGAUAUCGUUUCGUCGAAGCGAAGAGGCCACUUGAUGUGCACGGAGAGCGCGAUAUCGCACGUUCGCGAUGAUCAUUUCACAAUCAUUUAUUUAAGUUGAGGGAGAGAGAGAAAUCGAACACCCUCAACUUAAUUGUGGUAAAUUAAUUAAUUGUGCAGAGAUAAACAAAAUGUUGAUAACUUUCUGUGCCUCCCGAUUUUUUUCCCCGGAAAGCUUUGAUGUAGCGCAUUCUCUUUCGCCCGAUCUACUGUCAAUCAUCUCAUUAUUUUCUUUCUUAGAAACGCGAGAUCUCUAAUGCAAAAACACGGUAUUGAUCCGCAUGGUACUAACUAACAUUUAUUUUAUUUCGAACUUGAUUACUUUAAUCAUUGGAGAUGCUCUUUUGCGUCUCUUAAAAAGUACCUUCACCGAGUUGGUCGUAAAAUGACAAAAAGGACUAAGAAAAAUGAUAAGAUCGAUUGCCAGUAGAAAAGCCCGAAUUAUGCAACACACAUACGUACACACAAUUAGAAUAGUUAGCUAGCUAGACAGCCGACUAGUAAAGAUACGUAGUUAAUCACGUAAAUAAUUUGGUUAUCCGUAUAUAUAGAUGGAUAAGCGCAAAAGACGGUAAUAAAAAUUAGAUUUAAGCGACAGUAGGAAUAAUUGAGAGACAAACAUCGUGCAAGAGAGAAAGAGAAAAGGAGAGAAAAUUGUGAAAGAGAGAGAGAGAGAGAGAGAGAGAGAGAGAGAGAGAGAAAAUAAUUACCAACGUAUUUACUGCAGGUAAACACUGGUUACUGUACCUGUUGUUGUUGAAAUCAUUAAAAAUACUCUUAUUCCACGCUAA